UCUCGACAGGGUGACUCUGGGCUGCCAGGAUUUCCAGGGUCUGUUGGCCCUAAAGGACAGAAAGGAGAACCUGGGGAACCGUUCACAAAAGGUGAAAAGGGAGAUAGAGGAGAACCUGGCCUAUUAGGACCACAGGGAAUAAAGGGAGAACCUGGAGAUGUUGGUCCACCUGGUUUAACAGGAAGCCCAGGGCUAAAGG